rnacentral:rRNA from 1 species
GUCUUUUUAGUUAAUUAAUAUAAAGUCUGACCUGCCCACUGAAUAUAUUUUGAAGGGCCGCAGUAUUUUGACUGUGCAAAGGUAGCAUAAUCAUUAGUCUUUUAAUUGAAGGCUGGUAUGAAUGGUUGGAUGAGGUACAAGCUGUGUCAUAAAAAUUAUUUUUUGAAUUUACCUUUUUAGUCAAAAGGCUAAAAUAAAGUUAAAAGACGAGAAGACCCUAUAGAGCUUUAUAUAAUUUAUAUUUAAAUUAUUAAGAUUUUUUAAAUUUAAUUAUAUUAUUAUAUUUUGUUGGGGUGACAAUAAAAUUUAUAAAACUUUUAUUUUUAUUAAUCAUUUAUUUAUGUUUAUAUGAUCCAGUUUUAUUGAUUAUAAAUUUAAGUUACCUUAGGGAUAACAGCGUAAUUUUUUUUGAGAGUUCUUAUCGACAAAAAAGAUUGCGACCUCGAUGUUGGAUUAAGAGUAAUUUUGGGUGUAGAAGUUCAAAGUUUAAGUCUGUUCGACUUUUAAAUUCUUACAU